rnacentral:rRNA from 1 species
AGGGUGCUCGAAAGAGAGACCGUAACACAGGUGCUGCAUGGCUGUCGUCAGCUCGUGUCGUGAGAUGUUGGGUUAAGUCCCGCAACGAGCGCAACCCUUGUCUCUAGUUGCCACCAUUCAGUUGGGCACUCUAGAGAGACUGCCGGUGAUAAACCGGAGAAGUGGGGAUGACGUCAAGUCCUCAUGGCCCUUAUGGGUAGGGCUUCACACGUCAUACAAUGGUCGGUACAGAGGGUUGCCAAGCCGCGAGGCGGAGCCAAUCCCACAAAGCCGAUCGUAGUCCGGAUUGUUCUCUGCAACUCGAGAGCAUGAAGUCGGAAUCGCUAGUAAUCGCAGGUCAGCAUACUGCGGUGAAUACGUUCCCGGGUCUU